CGUACGAGAGUUUUUAACUCUGGUGGCGGACGGGUGAGUAACACGUGAGAAUUUACCUUUAGGAGGGGGAUAACAAUUGGAAACGAAUGCUAAUACCCCAUAUGCUUUCGAGUGAAAUGGAUUUAUAUUUAUUUGCCUAGAGAGAAGCUCGCGGCUGAUUAGCUUGUUGGUAAGGUAAGAGCUUACCGAGGCUGCGAUAGGUAGGGGGCGUGAGAGCGUGGUCCCCCACACGGGUACUGAGACACGGACCCG
rnacentral:rRNA from 1 species